rnacentral:rRNA from 1 species
AUUUUGGACAAUGGGCGCAAGCCUGAUCCAGCAAUGCCGCGUGCAGGAUGAAGGCCUUCGGGUUGUAAACUGCUUUUGUACGGAACGAAAAGCCCUGGGUUAAUACCCUGGGGUCAUGACGGUACCGUAAGAAUAAGCACCGGCUAACUACGUGCCAGCAGCCGCGGUAAUACGUAGGGUGCAAGCGUUAAUCGGAAUUACUGGGCGUAAAGCGUGCGCAGGCGGUUUUGUAAGACAGAGGUGAAAUCCCCGGGCUCAACCUGGGAACUGCCUUUGUGACUGCAAGGCUAGAGUACGGCAGAGGGGGAUGGAAUUCCGCGUGUAGCAGUGAAAUGCGUAGAUAUGCGGAGGAACACCGAUGGCGAAGGCAAUCCCCUGGGCCUGUACUGACGCUCAUGCACGAAAGCGUGGGGAGCAAACAGGAUUAGAUACCCUGGUAGUCCACGCCCUAAACGAUGUCAACUGGUUGUUGGGUCUUAACUGACUCAGUAACGAAGCUAACGCGUGAAGUUGACCGCCUGGGGAGUACGGCCGCAAGGUUGAAACUCA